UGCAGUUUGCAACCAUCGCUUACCUACUCCGUGAGCCUGAACCAGGCAGCGGGAGAGAAAGCGCUGUGAUUCUUGCGCAGGAGGCGCCCUUCGGUAAGGCACCCAGGACCCCUCACUCAUGCGCGGAGCGGUAUUUUGAUUUCUACUUGGGUGCUGCGCUUGUAGUGAUUGAUUGCGUGGGAACGCGUUGGAAAUUCAGAUUAUCAAGAUCCAUCUUUAACCUACUGAAUCUCAGUCUCUGGAGGCACGUUUCUUUUCCCAUUCUUUUGUGAUUGACAACUUCAGGAAGUCCAUAUCAAUUAGCCACCAGAACGGCAAAAACAGAAUUAAAAAAAACCCAACCUACCAAUUAGUGGUCAUUCACAUUAAUGACCUGGUGAAGAGCAAGUUAGAAAGAGACCUUUCCUCCUGCCUACACAGCGGUGGGACUGCUGGAGUCACUUCAACCAUGACAUCCCCGAGGCAAUGAGCCAACAACUACCAGCAAAGCACCCUCUUCCCGAUUUCUUGUUGCCUGAGGUAAAAAUCAACCAUACAUUUGCUGAUACCACUGUUUAAUCAGGUUCCUGUUACAGAUGAUCAAAAUCAUUGGCACGAGGAUAUAAAGAUGAAUAAAACAAUUCCCAGUCACAGGGAGCUCCUUGGGAAGAGAUGUUGUAAAUUAACAAUGGCAGUGCAGAGCACAAAACGCUUCUUGAGGGCCAUGUCAAGGCCACACUGGUGGCAGGUAAGAAGGAGACAAGGAUUCAGGGGAGAGCCCAAGCAAGUCUUCACGUAAGGGGAAAUUCUUGUGCUGAAUGUUUAAAGGAAAAAAAGUGUUAGGACAUGCUUGCUAGGGAUGUCAGCAUCAGUUGCAGAACAAGACUCUGGCGUUAACUCCUAGUUGUACCACUUAUUCUGUAGCCUCACUGUGAGUUACACAUAGCCAUGCAUGUUGAUAUUCUUGAUUUUGUUCCCAGCAUUUAAGAGAUGUUCAAAAUAUACUACUGAAUUGAAACCUCUCUGAGGUUCCAUAGAACCAAUCCCCUUCUACCAUAUAUAUUUUAUUAAACUGAUUAGUUAUUGUCAUUUCCCCCUCUAGAAUGUACACCCUACAAGAGUGCCUACAUUGGUAACUAGUGUAUCUCACGUGCCUAGAACAGUGCCUGAUACAAAGUAAGUACUUAAUAAAUAAUAAAUACAUAUUGUUGGAUGAAU